GCCGGCUAGAGAGCGACUGUGGUCUGUGGAACAGUGGAUGAGUUGUCAGGGACUUGCAGACCCUUAUGCUAAGAUGGAAAGAGCUAGGAAAAUAGCACCAUGCAUGCAGACCAGACGCGAAAUGACAGAAGUAAGGAAGGCAGCAAGAGGAGCUAUCAAUAUUAUUAGGGAAAAAUGUAGUUCUGUUUGGUUUCCCUGAAUUACUAUUAUUUGUUAAUACUUAAUGCUUUUUGUGAUGAUAUUUAUGCUUCAUGAACGUAUAUUGACAUAUUAUGCUGAA